rnacentral:rRNA from 1 species
AACGCGAAGAACCUUACCUACUCUUGACAUCCAGAGAAUUGAGCAGAGAUGCUUAAGUGCCUUCGGGAACUCUGAGACAGGUGCUGCAUGGCUGUCGUCAGCUCGUGUUGUGAAAUGUUGGGUUAAGUCCCGCAACGAGCGCAACCCUUAUCCUUUGUUGCCAGCGAUUCGGUCGGGAACUCAAAGGAGACUGCCGGUGAUAAACCGGAGGAAGGUGGGGAUGACGUCAAGUCAUCAUGGCCCUUACGAGUAGGGCUACACACGUGCUACAAUGGCGUAUACAAAGAGAAGCGACCUCGCGAGAGCAAGCGGAACUCGUAAAGUACGUCGUAGUCCGGAUUGGAGUCUGCAACUCGACUCCAUGAAGUCGGAAUCGCUAGUAAUCGUAGAUCAGAAUGCUACGGUGAAUACGUUCCCGGGUCUUGUACACACCG